rnacentral:rRNA from 1 species
GAUGAACGCUAGCUACAGGCUUAACACAUGCAAGUCGAGGGGCAUCAGUUUGGUUUGCUUGCAAACCAAAGCUGGCGACCGGCGCACGGGUGAGUAACACGUAUCCAACCUGCCUCAUACUCGGGGAUAGCCUUUCGAAAGAAAGAUUAAUAUCCGAUAGCAUAUAUUUCCCGCAUGGGUUUUAUAUUAAAGAAAUUCGGUAUGAGAUGGGGAUGCGUUCCAUUAGUUUGUUGGGGGGGUAACGGCCCACCAAGACUACGAUGGAUAGGGGUUCUGAGAGGAAGGUCCCCCACAUUGGAACUGAGACACGGUCCAAACUCCUACGGGAGGCAGCAGUGAGGAAUAUUGGUCAAUGGACGCGAGUCUGAACCAGCCAAGUAGCGUGAAGGAUGACUGCCCUAUGGGUUGUAAACUUCUUUUAUAUGGGAAUAAAGUUGUCCACGUGUGGAUUUUUGUAUGUACCAUAUGAAUAAGGAUCGGCUAACUCCGUG